UCAGAUCCAAAGAAGAAGUUUGUUUACCGUGAACACCUGUUGACGUCACGGACUGAUUAGCUCUCAACCGCGAAAAAACGUAGUAGGGUGUCGGACGCUUUGAGGAUUCUAACUGCUAAACGUGUUUGAGGAUUUUAUGAUGCCAGACUGGAGGAAGAGGAGGAAAAAAGAGGACUGUUUGACCGAGCUGCAUCAGUAUUGUGGUGUUCAUGUCUUUCUGCCAGGCAGUCGUGUCUCUCACAGCAGGCAGCAUCUGAUUUCCCAUCAUGCCGUGCUUGUGGACAAGAUGCAGCGUCACCUCCGGCUGUCCUCCCUGUUACCUCUGACACCCUGACCCUUCACACACACUCACUUCGCGCACACACACACUAGUCAUUUUACCUCACAUCAGCCGACUUGCCAAAAGUUCUGGUGGAGAAGGCAACACUUUAAAUAAUCUUAACAUUUACAAACUGGGAUUUUUUGUCACAUUUAUGAUUAAAUCUUAUCAGAAUAAAUGAGGUAAGUGCUUUAAUACAGUGCUGCAUCAUGAAAGCUUGUCAGAACGACUUAGGAAAGGUUGAUUCAAACUCCAUUUAAGAAAACAAGCAUUUAAAAGUAGUGGUCUUCUGCUAAAUGAUGAAUUCAGACUUUCUUGUUUUCAUUCCUGUUGCUCUUGGAGAAUUGGAUG